rnacentral:rRNA from 1 species
UAGCGGCCAUAGGUUUAGGGGAAACACCUGUUCCCGUUUCGAUCACAGAAGUUAAGCCCUUUUCCGUUAUCAUAUAGUACUCCGGAAUACGGGGGAAC